rnacentral:rRNA from 1 species
CACUGCCGAGAAAAGCCUCUAGAUAGAAAAUAGGUGCCCGUACCGCAAACCGACACAGGUAGUCAAGAUGAGAAUUCUAAGGUGAGCGAGCGAACUCUCGUUAAGGAACUCGGCAAAAUGACCCCGUAACUUCGGGAGAAGGGGUGCUCUUUAGGGUUAACGCCCAGAAGAGCCGCAGUGAAUAGGCCCAAGCGACUGUUUAUCAAAAACACAGGUCUCUGCUAAACCGUAAGGUGAUGUAUAGGGGCUGACGCCUGCCCGGUGCUGGAAGGUUAAGAGGAGUGGUUAGCUUCUGCGAAGCUACGAAUCGAAGCCCCAGUAAACGGCGGCCGUAACUAUAACGGUCCUAAGGUAGCGAAAUUCCUUGUCGGGUAAGUUCCGACCCGCACGAAAGGCGUAACGAUUUGGGCACUGUCUCAACGAGAGACUCGGUGAAAUCAUAGUACCUGUGAAGAUGCAGGUUACCCGCGACAGGACGGAAAGACCCCGUGGAGCUUUACUGUAGCCUGAUAUUGAAAUUCGGCACAGCUUGUACAGGAUAGGUAGGAGCCUUUGAAACGUGAGCGCUAGCUUACGUGGAGGCGCUGGUGGGAUACUACCCUAGCUGUGUUGGCUUUCUAACCCGCACCACUUAUCGUGGUGGGAGACAGUGUCAGGCGGGCAGUUUGACUGGGGCGGUCGCCUCCUAAAAGGUAACGGAGGCGCUCAAAGGUUCCCUCAGAAUGGUUGGAAAUCAUUCAUAGAGUGUAAAGGCAUAAGGGAGCUUGACUGCGAGACCUACAAGUCGAGCAGGGUCGAAAGACGGACUUAGUG